GCCUCGGGGGCCGGGUGGCGCCGCCUGGCCUCCCGCCCCGGCGCCGCCUGCUCUAACCGCUUCGGGCGCGGCGGCAGCGGUUUGGCGCUGCCUGGAGCCCCGGGUCUCGGUUCCUGCAAAAUACGUUCAAGGAGAAUGCCUGCAGCUGAGCAGAGAAUUUAACCUAAGCUUCCUGGCAACUCAAGGAAAAGAAGAACACAAGAAAGAAACUGAAUAAAGUAGAACAGAAUGGAAACAACUAGAAAACAAAUAGAGCACAGGCCAAGGUGGCAGGAGGGAGACCAAAUACAGACGACAAUGAGUAUAAAUGGGUUCUUCUCUAAGAAAAAGGAAAAAAUGGAAUCCAGUGAUCAGCUGCUUACAAGUCAGGCCCGUAACAUGGCGAUGGAGACAGCAUACAAACUAAUGCCUCUCAGGCCACACAGCCUAUGGAAGCCUAAGGAAGCGGUAUCCCAGUGUUCCCAUCAGCCCAUGGUACACAUCUUCCUCUGUCCAAUCAGCCUGGGCCCUGAGGGUCACGUGCUACAAAACAUGGCUGCCUCAGAAACAGCAUGGGACGUCUUUCCUGGGUGGUUCUCCUUAGACGCAAAGACUCAGCACACCUUGGCUUUUUCCUCCGUUCCAUUCAAGAAAAACACUUCCAACAUGGAGAUCAGAGUGGAUUUCUCUCAGCCCCACUCAGCCCCAAAGUAUGUGAACAAAGAAGCUGUGGCCCUGGUUACUGUGGAAGGAAUCUUGUGACCCUGAGAGAGGGCUGCUGGAAGACACAGAGCAGGGAGGAGAGCGGAACAGAGAGGAUCUGUAAGGAAUGGGCAGGAGCCCUGUUUGCUAUGCAGCCAUUCUGCCAUCCGCCCUCUACUACACUGUAUCCUGAGCUUCCCUAAGAAGAGGCAUCCAUCAGCACUCUUUUCUGAGUUUUUGAUUCAGAACCAUAACUAGGCAAGAAUUUAGCACCUUGCAUAGGCCAGUUUCAGCAUUUCCACCAACUGAGCCUUUUCCAGUGAUUUAGACCAAAUCCUUCACACUAGGUGCAUGAAUGAAACUUCUCUCCAACAACACUCAGUUAGAAGAUAACUAGACAGAGCUUGCAAAGACAAAGUUGCUAACAGAAAAUGGGGCAAUCCUUGUAGAUCUGAAGCCGUCGGAGCAGGGCCGCAUGCAAUGAACCGGUGAUCCGUAAUCCAUGCAGUCUGCAGCACAGAUGUGGGUGAAGUCUUCCCUCAGUUCCUCGAAGUUUGAGCCUCUUCACUGACCAGCUCAUUACCUAGCAGCAGGCUUCUCCUAGUGCAAAUGAUCCAACUGAGACAAGUGUGUAUUCAAGAUGGAAGCUGCAGCAUUUUUAUAACUGAAUCUUGGCAAUGACAUCUCAUCACUUUUCUGUGUUUUACUCAUUAAAAGUGAGUCUCUAAGUCCAGUCUGUGUUCAAGGGGAGGAGAAUGAAGUACAUGUUUGAA
rnacentral:lncRNA from 1 species